rnacentral:rRNA from 1 species
AUUGAACGCUGGCGGCAGGCCUAACACAUUCAAGUCGAACGAGUGGCGGACGGGUGAGUAAUGUCUGGGACACUGCCUGAUGGAGGGGUAUAACUACUGGAAACGGUAGCUAAUACCGCCUACCAUCGGAUUUGCCCAGAUGGGAUGAGCUAGUAGGUGGGGUAACGGCUCACCUAGGCGACGAUCACUAGCUGGUCUGAGAGGAUGACCAGCCACACUGGAACGGAGACACGGUCCAGACUCCUACGGGAGGCAGCAGUGGGGAAUAGUGCACAAUGGGCGCAAGCCUGAUGCAGCCAUUCCGCGUGUAUGAAGAAGGCCUUCGGGUUGUAAAGGACUUUCAGCGGGGAGGCGGUACCCGCAGAAGAAGCACCGGCUAACUCCGUGCGAGCAGCCGCGGUAAUUC